rnacentral:rRNA from 1 species
GUGGGGAAUAUUGGGCAAUGGGCGCAAGCCUGACCCAGCCAUGCCGCGUGAGUGAUGAAGGCCUUCGGGUCGUAAAGCUCUGUGGGGAGGGACGAAACAGCCUGGUGAUAAUACCGCCGGGCCUUGACGGUACCCCCUUAGCAAGCACCGGCUAACUCCGUGCCAGCAGCCGCGGUAAUACGGAGGGUGCAAACGUUGCUCGGAAUCAUUGGGCGUAAAGCGCACGUAGGCGGUCCGGUGUGUCGGGUGUGAAAGCCCUCGGCUCAACCGAGGAAGUGCAUUCGAAACUACCGGACUCGAGUAUGGAAGAGGGUCGCGGAAUUCCCGGUGUAGAGGUGAAAUUCGUAGAUAUCGGGAGGAACACCAGUGGCGAAGGCGGCGACCUGGGCCAAUACUGACGCUGAGGUGCGAAAGCGUGGGGAGCAAACAGGAUUAGAAACCCUAGUAGUCC